rnacentral:rRNA from 1 species
UACGUAGGUGACAAGCGUUGUCCGGAUUUACUGGGCGUAAAGAGCGCGCAGGCGGUCGAUCAAGUCGAGUGUGAAAGCCCCCGGCUCAACUGGAGAGGGUCAUUCGAAACUGGUCGACUCGAAGGCAGGAGAGGGUAGUGGAAUUCCCGGUGUAGUGGUGAAAUGCGUAGAUAUCUGGAGGAAUACCGGUGGCGAAGGCGGCAUCCUGGACCGACAUUGACGCUGAGGAGCGAAAGCUAGGGGAGCAAACGGG